rnacentral:rRNA from 1 species
GAUGAACGCUGGCGGCGUGCUUAACACAUGCAAGUCGAACGAAGCCAGCGGAGACUCUUUCCUUCGGGAGAGGGGAACCGCGACGCUUAGUGGCGGACGGGUGAGUAACGCGUGGGCAACCUGCCCCAUACCGGGGGAUAACAGCCGGAAACGGCUGCUAAUACCGCAUAAGCGCACGAUAGCGCAUGCUAUUGUGUGAAAAACUCCGGUGGUAUGGGAUGGGCCCGCGUCUGAUUAGCUAGUUGGCGGGGCAGAGGCCCACCAAGGCGACGAUCAGUAGCCGACCUGAGAGGGUGACCGGCCACAUUGGGACUGAGACACGGCCCAA